AGCGAACGUUAGCGGCGGGCCUAACACAUGCAAGUCGAACGCGAAAGGUCUUCGGACUGAUUAGAGUGGCGCACGGGUGAGUAACACGUAGGUAAUCUACCCUUUGGCGGGGGAUAACGUUCCGAAAGGAGCGCUAAUACCGCAUAAGACCACGGAGUCUCCGGACGCUGUGGGAAAAGGUGGCCUCUUCUUGAAAGCUAUCACCGGAGGAUGAGCCUGCGUCCCAUCAGCUAGUUGGUAAGGUAAUGGCUUGCCAAGGCAAAGACGGGUAGCUGGUUUGAGAGAAUGAUCAGCCACACUGGCACUGGAACACGGGCCAGACUCCUACGGGAGGCAGCAGUGAGGAAUAUUGGGCAAUGGGCGAAAGCCUGACCCAGCCACGCCGCGUGAGUGAUGAAGGCCCUCGGGUCGUAAAGCUCUGUGGAGAGGGACGAAAAACCUGGGGUCUAAUAGGCCCCGGACUUGACGGUACCUCUUUAGCAAGCACCGGCUAACUCUGUGCCAGCAGCCG
rnacentral:rRNA from 1 species